AAAGAAAGACAGAAAAAGAAAGAAAGAAAGGAGGGAGGGAGGGAGGAAGGAAAUAAAUUGAACAUUAUAUGCAUGGCUUGCGUUUGUGGUUUUGCUAGUUUUCUAUGGGAUGGCACUAGCUUAGAAUGUUUUGAGCCACAAGAAACAAAAAGCCUGACUCUAUCAAGUGCCAUGAACAAUAAGGAAUUCAUUAUUUCACUGAAGUAGUAGUCUAGAGGUAGGGUGGGCUCCAGCAUUGGUUAAUUUAGCAGCUUACUACACAGCAAGACCCAUGGUUUUGCCACCUUUCUGCUUCGCCAACCUCAGUGAGUUGACUACCUCCUCCUCACAGCCACAAUGUGGCUGCCAUAGCUCCAGAAAGCAUAUGUAGACAUUGACAACAGCCAGUGGAAGAAGAGAGAGGGGCUCUUCCUGUGUAUUUCUGCUGCCCAUCAACAGACAUCCCCUGUCACAUGUCAUCAGCCUGAAUGGAGUCACAGGCCCAUGCUUAGACUGAUCCCCAGCAAGGGGAUGAAACCACCAUGAGUAGCUUAGACAAAUCAUGUUGCACUCUCUGGUGCUGGGGUUCCAGAUGAAUCUUGGGGAGCACCUACCUUCUGGAAGGAAGGUAGACACCGGAACAUCAGGGCUCCGUGAACCAGCAAAAGGAAGGGCUUCUCCACUAGGGAUGUUGUAGGUAAUUGGGAGAAGCAUCUUAUUGCCUUUGCCAGGUUGAAUGUCUCAUUUUGAAGGUGGCACGGGGAUGUUCUUAUAUUAAGUGAUGUUGAGUCGAUGAGCCAAGAGCACAUCUGUUAUUUCUGUUUGUCUGGCAGCUUUGCAUUUCUCCCUUUUGGAAACUGUCCUUCUCCCUCUUGGCAGGGCUGUCAGUGACAGAGUCUCAGAGAUGACCCAGAAUUGCCAAUCAGCGUACCCCAUUAGCCAAAAGAGUGUGCUUAUUUCCUUAAAGGGCCAGCAAAGUUCUCAGGGAAGGCUCUGACUGGCCCAGCUUGAGUCAUGGGCCCUGACACUGACAGGGAAAGCCUGAGUCUAAUGUUGCACAUCUUCAUUAUGGGAAACUGUGAUUUGUGAAGAUGGCCUGGAAGCCUGGCCCAGACCCUACAACAACUUCUUUGUUGCUGGCGAGGAGUUGUGUUUCUUUGGAGAAGAGGCAUUAUGGUUUUUGGAAUUUUUAGCCUUUCUGCUCCAGUUUCUCCCCAUCUUUGUGGUUUUAUCAACAUUUGGUCUUUGAUGUUGGUGACCUACGGAUGAGUUUUUGGUGUGGAUGUCCUUUUUGUUGAUGUUGAUGCUAUUCUUUUCUGUUUGUUAGUUUUCCUUCUAACCGACAGGCCCCUCAGCUGCAGGUCUGUUGGAGUUUGCUGGAGGUCCACUCCAGACCCUGUUUGCCUGGGUAUCACCAGUGGAGGCUCAGUUGGAAAUACGGAAAUCACCCGUCUUCUGCGUCAAUCUCGCUGGGAGCUGUUCCUAUUCGGCCAUCUUGGAAGCCUCCUGACUCUUUCACAACUUCUCAAUAAAUAAGAGAUGACUGAAUGUCUUUUUAAGUCCAUUUGUCAGGAGCCAGAGGCCUGGACUAGAAACUUCACCUGAUCUCCUGCCCCUCCUUGUGCCAUAGCAAGUCACAGAUUUUUCUAAGAGCAAAUCAACCAAAAGUAAAAAUAGAACCUGUUGAUUUUCCUAAGAGGAAAUCAACCAAAAAUAAAAAUAAAACCUGUUUCUUGAGGUGUUUGACUUAGGAAUUCUUUCCUGGGCCUCAGAAACAUUGGAACUUUCAUUUUUACUCUUCUCACCAGCACCUGUUAGUUUGGAGACAAAGUUAGACUUUAGCUCUUGGAAGCAGCAAUGUGCCAGAAACCCUGACAAUGAACCGCUGUCUCUGACUAAUUGUUCUAGUGGAGAUGUCUCCUGUUUGACUUGAUUUUAAACUGUGGAGCACGUCAAGAGAAAGCUCACUGAUCUGCCGAGGGUUUGUGCUUUUCUGUCUUCAUGCAUCUGUUGUGGGUGAAGAGAGCAAAGAUUCUUCAUUCAAUCAAAGGCCCCCUUUGGAGAUGCUGAGAAGGAAAUUUCCUUUGGAAAUUCCCAAAGGUAGGUUCUUUGGGGAAGUGAGAACUCUGCUGCUUCAACCUUAGCCCAGCCUGCCCUCCUGGUGGGAAAGACCAGCCGUGUCUUGGCUUCCAAAGAACCAGGAGACAGAAGGAAUUUAUGGCUGGAAGCCCAGCAUGGUCGUGUCCCCUGGGCCCAGUUGCUUCCCCUCUGUGGUUUCCAUAUCUAUGUGUUAAGAGAAAGCAUCUGAAACUUUGAAAUAAGGAAGAAGAUGACUGCGUGUCCUUUGAAUGCCACAUUAAAGCACUGUCAGACAGGCCCUGCCCAAUGGCAAUUUAAUUCUUCAGGGCACGGGCCAAAUCUGGCUGCUGCCUGUUUUUGUAAAUAAAGUUCUAUUGGAACACAGCCA
rnacentral:lncRNA from 10 species